rnacentral:rRNA from 1 species
UACGGAGGGUGCAAGCGUUGCUCGGAAUUAUUGGGCGUAAAGGGCAAGUAGGUGGUCUCAUUUGUCUGGGGUGAAAGCCUUGAGCUUAACUCAAGAAGUGCCCCAGAAACGGUGGGACUGGAGUCCUGGAGAGGGUCGUGGAAUUCCCGGUGUAGCGGUGAAAUGCGUAGAGAUCGGGAGGAACACCUGUGGCGAAGGCGGCUUUCUGGGCCCUACCUGACGCUGAGACGCGAAAGCGUGGGGAGCGAACCGG